rnacentral:rRNA from 1 species
GUACGGAGGAUCCAAGCGUUAUCCGGAAUCAUUGGGUUUAAAGGGUCCGUAGGUGGACAGAUAAGUCAGAGGUGAAAUCCUGCAGCUCAACUGUCGAAUUGCCUUUGAAACUGUUUGUCUGGAGUCAUUGUGAAGUGGUUAGAAUGUGUAGUGUAGCGGUGAAAUGCAUAGAUAUUACACAGAAUACCGAUUGCGAAGGCAGAUCACUAAUAAUGUACUGACACUGAUGGACGAAAGCGUGGGUAGCGAACAGGAUUAGAAACCCUAGUAGUCC